GACGAACGCUGGCGGCGUGCUUAACACAUGCAAGUCAUGGGGACCCAGCAAUGGGUAACCGGCGAACGGGCGCGUAACACGUGAGUGACCUGCCGAUUUGUGGGGGAUAGCCGGGCCAACGCCCGGGUAAUACCGCAUACGCUCUUCUUGGGGCAUCUCUAGAAGAGGAAACCUCCGGGGCAAAUCGAGGGACUCGCGGCCUAUCAGCUAGUUGGCGAGGUAACGGCUCACCAAGGCUACGACGGGUAGCUGGUCUGAGAGGAUGGCCAGCCACAUUGGGACUGAGAUACGGCCCAGACUCCUACGGGAGGCAGCAGUGGGGAAUAUUGCGCAAUGGCCUAAACGGCUGACCGCAGCCGACGCCGCGUGUGGGAUGACGCCCUUCCGGGGUGUAAACCACCUGUUGCUCGAGACCGAAUAGCGAGCCUUUAGCUCGCCUGACCGUAUCGAGUGAGGAAGCACCGGCUAACUCCGUGCCAGC
rnacentral:rRNA from 1 species